ACGAACGCUGGCGGCGUGCCUAAUACAUGCAAGUAGAACGCUGAAGAGAGGAGCUUGCUCUUCUUGGAUGAGUUGCGAACGGGUGAGUAACGCGUAGGUAACCUGCCUUGUAGCGGGGGAUAACUAUUGGAAACGAUAGCUAAUACCGCAUAACAAUGGAUGACACAUGUCAUUUAUUUGAAAGGGGCAAUUGCUCCACUACAAGAUGGACCUGCGUUGUAUUAGCUAGUAGGUGAGGUAACGGCUCACCUAGGCGACGAUACAUAGCCGACCUGAGAGGGUGAUCGGCCACACUGGGACUGAGACACGGCCCAGACUCCUACGGGAGGCAGCAGUAGGGAAUCUUCGGCAAUGGGGGCAACCCUGACCGAGCAACGCCGCGUGAGUGAAGAAGGUUUUCGGAUCGUAAAGCUCUGUUGUAAGUCAAGAACGAGUGUGAGAGUGGAAAGUUCACACUGUGACGGUAGCUUACCAGAAAGGGACGGCUAACUACGUGCCAGCAGCCGCGGUAAUACGUAGGUCCCGAGCGUUGUCCGGAUUUAUUGGGCGUAAAGCGAGCGCAGGCGGUUUGAUAAGUCUGAAGUUAAAGGCUGUGGCUCAACCAUAGUUCGCUUUGGAAACUGUCAAACUUGAGUGCAGAAGGGGAGAGUGGAAUUCCAUGUGUAGCGGUGAAAUGCGUAGAUAUAUGGAGGAACACCGGUGGCGAAAGCGGCUCUCUGGUCUGUAACUGACGCUGAGGCUCGAAAGCGUGGGGAGCGAACAGGAUUAGAUACCCUGGUAGUCCACGCCGUAAACGAUGAGUGCUAGGUGUUGGAUCCUUUCCGGGAUUCAGUGCCGCAGCUAACGCAUUAAGCACUCCGCCUGGGGAGUACGACCGCAAGGUUGAAACUCAAAGGAAUUGACGGGGGCCCGCACAAGCAGUGGAGUAUGUGGUUUAAUUCGACGCAACGCGAAGAACCUUACCAGGUCUUGACAUCCCGAUGCUAUUUCUAGAGAUAGAAAGUUACUUCGGUACAUCGGUGACAGGUGGUGCAUGGUUGUCGUCAGCUCGUGUCGUGAGAUGUUGGGUUAAGUCCCGCAACGAGCGCAACCCCUAUUGUUAGUUGCCAUCAUUCAGUUGGGCACUCUAGCGAGACUGCCGGUAAUAAACCGGAGGAAGGUGGGGAUGACGUCAAAUCAUCAUGCCCCUUAUGACCUGGGCUACACACGUGCUACAAUGGUUGGUACAACGAGUUGCGAGUCGGUGACGGCAAGCUAAUCUCUUAAAGCCAAUCUCAGUUCGGAUUGUAGGCUGCAACUCGCCUACAUGAAGUCGGAAUCGCUAGUAAUCGCGGAUCAGCACGCCGCGGUGAAUACGUUCCCGGGCCUUGUACACACCGCCCGUCACACCACGAGAGUUUGUAACACCCGAAGUCGGUGAGGUAACCUUUUGGAGCCAGCCGCCUAAGGUGGGAUAGAUGAUUGGGGUG
rnacentral:rRNA from 1 species